UACGAAGGGGGCUAGCGUUGCUCGGAAUCACUGGGCGUAAAGCGCACGUAGGCGGAUCUUUAAGUCAGAGGUGAAAUCCCAAGGCUCAACCUUGGAACUGCCUUUGAUACUGGGGAUCUCGAGUCCGGAAGAGGUGAGUGGAACUGCGAGUGUAGAGGUGAAAUGCGUAGAUAUUCGCAAGAACACCAGUGGCGAAGGCGGCUCACUGGUCCGGUACUGACGCUGAGGUGCGAAAGCGUGGGGAGCAAACAGG
rnacentral:rRNA from 1 species